rnacentral:rRNA from 1 species
GAUGAACGCUGGCGGCGUGCCUAAUACAUGCAAGUCGAGCGAACAGACGAGGAGCUUGCUCCUCUGACGUUAGCGGCGGACGGGUGAGUAACACGUGGAUAACCUACCUAUAAGACUGGGAUAACUUCGGGAAACCGGAGCUAAUACCGGAUAAUAUAUUGAACCGCAUGGUUCAAUAGUGAAAGACGGUUUUGCUGUCACUUAUAGAUGGAUCCGCGCCGCAUUAGCUAGUUGGUAAGGUAACGGCUUACCAAGGCAACGAUGCGUAGCCGACCUGAGAGGCUGAUCGGCCACACUGGAACUGAGACACGGUCCAGACUCCUACGGGAGGCAGCAGUAGGGAAUCUUCCGCAAUGGGCGAAAGCCUUACGGAGCAACGCCGCGUGAGUGAUGAAGGUCUUCGGAUCGUAAAACUCUGUUAUUAGGGAAGAACAAAUGUGUAAGUAACUAUGCACGUCUUGACGGUACCUAAUCAGAAAGCCACGGCUAACUACGUG